rnacentral:rRNA from 1 species
UACCCGCAGCACAAGUGGUGGUCAUUAUUAUUGGGCCUAAAGCGUCCGUAGCUGGCUUGUUAGAUGCCUGGGUAAAUCGAUGCGCUCAACGUAUCGAACUCCGGGUAGACCGGCAAGCUCGAGACCGGGAGAGGUGUAGGCUACUCGCGGGGUAGGGGUAAAAUCCUGUAAUCCUGCGGGGAGGACCAGUGGCGAAGGCGCUACACUAGAACGGCUCUGACAGUGAGGGACGAAGCCCUGGGGCGCAAACCGG